AUGUGUCCAUGUUGGAGCAUUUAUGUUAAUGAACUCCUGGGUGGGCUUUGGAGGCCUUCUGCCAGGUUCAAAUGACUUACACAGUCUGACGUCUGAAAAGGUGAUAGCAAACGUGUUUUAAUGCUCUGCUGCACUGCAGGUAGAGCAACAACGUCUUUCUUUGGACCUUUGCUCCUGCUUGACCUGUUAAAAACCCAAAGGACUUCACUUUUGUGGUCAGUCUGCAGAGAGAGGCUAAACGUACUGUGCACACUGGCAAGGCUGUAGACACUUUGAUACUGCGAUAGAAAUUGGUCAGAGUUGUUUGUUUAGAGAAAAGAAAUCGACACCUCUGCAACCAUGACCACUUUUGACGAUAUCUUGGAAGAAGCUGGAAAGUUCGGCCGGUGUCAGAAGCGUAUCUUCGCCCUGCUGUGUAUGGUGUCCAUGCCUUGGGCCGGUGUGUACGUCGGCAUCGUCUUCCAGGGUUUCACCCCGGACCACUGGUGUCGGGAUACUGCGGUGGUGGAGAGGAGGCAGGCGUGCGGCUGGAGCCUGGCAGACAGUCGCAGGCUGACGGUGCCCCUGGUCAACAGCUCCGGAGUGCUGCAGCAGAGCAGCUGUGAGCAGUACGAGGUGGACUGGAACAAAACAACGCUCACCUGUGACACACAGGAACUGGACCUCAGCAGAACUCCCACAACUGCCUGCAAAGAUGGCUGGGAGUUCGACUACGAGGGAAGACGGUCUUUUGUUACUGAGUUUGACCUGGUGUGUUCAGAUGGAUGGUUGGUGGACAUGUACCAGGCCACUCUCAACGUGGGAUUCCUGGUUGGCAGCAUUGCUAUUGGUUACCUGGCCGACAGGUUUGGCAGGAAAAUGAGCUUCCUGGUGUCCAACCUGAUGAAUGGCAUCGCAGGGAUCCUGGUGGCCGUGGCUCCAGACUACGUCUCUUUACUGGUUUUCAGAACGCUUUACGGGUUUGGAGUGAAAGGAGGCUGGGUGGCUGGAUACGUGCUGAUCACGGAGAUCGUGGGAGUGGAGUUCAGACGUACGGUGGGAGUCAUUUACCAGAUGUUCUUCAGCGUCGGCAUCCUUCUCCUCCCUCUGCUUUCCUACUUCAUCACAGACUGGCGCUGGCUGCAGGUCGUCAUCACCAUCCCCUACAUCCUCUUCCUGUCCUACUACUGGUUCAUCCCUGAAUCUCCAAGAUGGCUUCUCUCUCAGAACAAAAAGUCCAAAGCUGUGAAGAUCACCGAGGACAUGGCCAAAGAAAACAAGAGGACUCUGUCCAAAAACAUCGAGACUCUGACAGAUGAUAAUGCUCACUCCACUACCGCCUCCUUCAUGGAUCUGAUCAGGACUCCGAAAAUGAGGAAACACACCUUCAUCCUCAGCUACAACUGGUUCACCAGCGCGGUGGUCUACCAGGGUUUGAUCAUGCGGCUGGGUAUUCUGGGAGGAAAUGUCUACAUCGACUUCCUCAUCUCCGGACUGUUGGAGUUCCCCGCCGCCUUCCUGAUCCUCUUCACCAUUGAACGUAUUGGGCGACGUCUCCCCUUCGCCUCCGCCAACAUCGUCGCUGGAGCCUCCUGCUUCAUCACUGCCUUCAUUCCCGACAGUAUGUUCUGGUUUAAGACGAUGGUGGCCUGUAUUGGUCGGUUGGGUAUCACCAUGGCCUUUGAGAUGGUGGUGUUUGUUAACACUGAACUCUACCCAACGUUUGUCAGGAACCUGGGAGUAUCAGUUUGUUCCACUCUGUGUGAUGUUGGAGGCAUCGUAGCACCGUUCCUGCUCUACCGACUGGCUGUCAUCUGGCUGGAGCUGCCACUCAUCAUCUUCGGUGGGUUUGAUAUCAUCCUGUCUGCAAUGUCUGAAACGAUGGGUCACAAAAUGCUACAUGUUCAUUCUAGGAGAAAAAAAGAUGUUCGUCCUUAACAUGUAUACCGACGGAUACCUUUAUUCUCUUAACGCUGGUACGUUGUAAUUAACGUACUUGAGUAAACAAAUUGUCAGAUAUAAAGGAAUCCUGUCAAAGUACGUGGCGGUCUUUAAUAAAUUGCUGAAGAAUCCUGUUUGGACUUCAUGCAGUUUGGCUUCUUACUGCAGUUGUAGUCUCCCUCAUAGGCUGCCAUAUUUUGCCAAAACAGAAACCACACCAACCAGCCUGCCAAACACAAACUAUCUAUUUCUUUUUGAUCUGAGAGUUCAGCAUGUUGAUGAAACUGAACUGCAAGAGGAACAUCUGAUUGUUUAUUUUUACAAACUACGACCUUUAAUUAUACUUAGUAAUUUUUUUUAAGGUGAUCAAUAAACACUGAUGAGCCAAAACAUUAUGACCGCCUCCUUACUAUGCUGCUGAUCGUCCAUGUGUCGCCAAAACAGCCCCCGACCCACUGAGGCAUGGACUCCAAAAGACCUCGGGAUUCUGCCCCGUGGUAUCCGGCAUGUUGGCAUUAGAUCUUUUAAGUCCUAUAAGUUGCGAAGUGGAGCCACCACAGAUCAGACUUUGGAGGACAGGGCACAACUUGAAAUCUUGUCAUGUUCCUCAAACCAUUCCUGAGAAAUGUGUGCAGUGCGGCAGGGCGCAUUAUCCCGCUGAAAGAGGCCACUGCCAUCAGGGAAUACCACUGCCAUGAAGAGGUGUGUCUGGUCUACAAAAUCGUUUAGGGUCUCUGGCUUUCCUGGCUGGGGGCCUGGUGCUGCUCCUCCCUGAGACCAGAGGCGUGCCUUUGCCGGACACCAUCGAUGACAUCGAG